rnacentral:rRNA from 1 species
UACGGAGGGUGCUAGCGUUGUUCGGAAUCACUGGGCGUAAAGCGCGUGUAGGCGGCCUGUUAAGUCUGAUGUGAAAGCCCGGGGCUCACCCCCGGAAGUGCAUUGGAAACUGCCAGGCUCGAGUCCCGGAGAGGAGGGUGGAAUUCCUGGUGUAGCGGUGAAAUGCGCAGAUAUCAGGAAGAACACCCGUGGCGAAGGCGGCUCUCUGGUACGGAACUGACGCUGAGACGCGAAAGCGUGGGGAGCGAACAGG